rnacentral:rRNA from 1 species
UACGAAGGGGGCUAGCGUUGCUCGGAAUCACUGGGCGUAAAGGGUGCGUAGGCGGAUUGCUAAGUCAGGGGUGAAAUCCUGGAGCUCAACUCCAGAACUGCCUUUGAUACUGGCAACCUUGAGUCCGGGAGAGGUGAGUGGAACUGCGAGUGUAGAGGUGAAAUUCGUAGAUAUUCGCAAGAACACCAGUGGCGAAGGCGGCUCACUGGCCCGGUACUGACGCUGAGGUGCGAAAGCGUGGGGAGCAAACAGG